rnacentral:rRNA from 1 species
GAUGAACCCUGGCGGCGUGCCUAAUACAUGCAAGUCGAGCGAACAGAUGAGGAGCUUGCUCCUCUGACGUUAGCGGCGGACGGGUGAGUAACACGUGGAUAACCUACCUAUAAGACUGGGAUAACUUCGGGAAACCGGAGCUAAUACCGGAUAAUAUAUUGAACCGCAUGGUUCAAUAGUGAAAGACGGUUUUGCUGUCACUUAUAGAUGGAUCCGCGCCGCAUUAGCUAGUUGGUAAGGUAACGGCUUACCAAGGCAACGAUGCGUAGCCGACCUGAGAGGGUGAUCGGCCACACUGGAACUGAGACACGGUCCAGACUCCUACGGGAGGCAGCAGUAGGGAAUCUUCCGCAAUGGGCGAAAGCCUGACGGAGCAACGCCGCGUGAGUGAUGAAGGUCUUCGGAUCGUAAAACUCUGUUAUUAGGGAAGAACAAAUGUGUAAGUAACUAUGCACGUCUUGACGGUACCUAAUCAGAAAGCCACGGCUAACUACGUG